UUGCCUUCCGUUCCUCUCCCAAACCAAACCAAACCAAACAGAGUCCGCCGCCGCCGCCGCCGCCGCCUCGCUCUCCCCAGCCGGCGACCUCCCUCUCCCCAGCCAGCGUCCUCCUCCCCCUCUUCUCUUCCCCACCGCUGACCUCGUCCGUGCCCCUCUCCUCCACCGCUCCCGCCGCCCCCCACUCACCUUCUCCCCCUUAGAUCGAGCAGGGCGGCCAUGGCGGUGCUGCCAGUGGUCCCUGCUCGAGCUCCCCACGGCGGCGGAUCCACGACGAAGGCAUCAUCACGAAGCAAGCGGAUCUGAACCCUAGCCGCAUCGGGUCACCGGCGUGGCUCCCGCAACUCCGUCGGCCGACCGCAUCAAAGGGCUGGCCUCCAGCGCCAGCUCCAUCACCAGGAAGAAGAAGAAGGCAGAAGAAAGUUCCCCACCUGUCGCUGGUGUCACGGUGCUAGGGACUGAGCCACAGUACCUACCUCUGCCGGCCAACCGCAUCAAGGGGCUCUCCUCCAGCGCCAGCUUCAUCACCAGGAAGAAGAAGGCAGGAUGAGACGAUGAUCAUGACAUGGAUCUGUUCGGCGAUGAGACAAAGGAGGACAAUAAAGUAGCAGCUGAGCGUGCAGCUGCCAAGCCUGCAAAGAAGAAAGAAAGUGGCAAGUCCUCUGUCCUCAUGGACAUCAGGCCAUGGAACGAUCAGACUGACAUGAAGAAGUUGGAGGAGGCUGUCUGCAGUGUUCAAAUGGAGGGUCUCACCUGGGGUGCAUCUAAGCUUAUGCCUGUGGGUUACGGCAUCAAGAAGCUCCAGUUCGAUAAAUUUUACACACUGAUCAUCGACGACCUCGUGUGUGUCGAGACUCUUAUUGAGGAAGUGCUCUGCGAGGUCGCCGGGUCGCAGGUGGCUCUUAUCUGAACCCUAGCUUCAGUGGGUCGCCAGCGUGGCUCCUGCACCCCCGCUGCUUUCGCCAGAGCUCCCUCCUCUGUCGUCAGGCUUGGCUUCCCCUACGCCUUCCACUCCGGCCUAGUCUACAGCAGAACAACAACAUCAAUGGGCGAACCCCAGCAGCCUUGGCAAGCGACCACUUCUCUGGUGAAAUCCCCAGCUUAUGUUCUCACUGUUUACAUCGUGAUUUUCAGUCUACGGCGUCAACUCCUCGAGAGACGUCAAAAACCUUUCUGAUAUAUGGGCGAAGGAAAUCGACUUGUUUUCAACGAACCAGGAUUUUAUAAAGUUGCUCAUCAAAAACAAAGUGGACUGGGUUUAGAUGAAAUUGUCCAGUUUUAGUUUGGUUGGGUAUGCUGAGGUUUGGACUUGUUAUUGGCUAUCAAAUAUAACAAAAUGGUUGCACAUUGUGUUGUGUUUCUGUCUAACUUGUAUAAGGAUAAAAAUCAUCCAGCCGCUGAUGUUGGGGAAUUGUGGUGUCUGUCUACCUGAUGCACGCGUUGCAGGGAGCAUGGUAGAGUGGCUAGUAGCUCGCAGCUAUUUACUUGAUAUCACAACACAGGGAGAUUCGCAUGACUUACUGUUUCUCCCUGUAAUCUUAGAGCUUAAGUACCAUUUCUGGGAAUUGCCUGCAAGUGCUUCCCUUUGAGCAGGCGUCCUCCAUGGACGACAUUGACGAGGAACAUGUGGUACCGCACGCCUGAGCUGUUGAGCUCGACGAGGACAUCAUCGAGUCCGCCCCAACAUGGACAGUGAGGACGACGAUCCGCACAAGGAAAGUGAGGGAUUGGAGGGACCAGCUCGGUGCAGAUGGCUCUGGAGAUCUGUGGGGUAUUCUAGUAGAGUGGUGGCUGCACGCAUGACGCUUGAUCAGGUCAAGGUGGAGGAUAUAGACACCAAUGUUGCUGUCCUGAAGGCAGGAACUGUUGUUUCCUUUGUUUGAAAUAGGCAAAAGGCUUGUCUUUUUGGCCGAGUGCGACUCAAGUCUUAACGUUUUUUGCUCUGCUUCCUCUACAUAUUUUUACAGAGGCUUGAUAUGGUACAUUUUCCCCGGCUUUUUGGUCGGCUCCACCUUCAUGCUGUGGAACAAGCACCAUGGCAACAAGCAGCUCAUUGGAGCAUUUGAAGUCACAACCCCUCCUUGGUGGCGAACCGUCGAGCAUCCCCUUGCUCAGCAGGAAGCCAUCUUGCAGCUUGAGGCACACGGCCAAGCUGGGAACAUUUUUCUCCUCAAGCUUCGGUUCCUCGUGCUCGCAGCUUUUCCUCAGAGCACAAACAAAGUUGCGGUGGCGAUGCUCGUCGUGGCUGCAACAUUUGUGUUUAUGCCGUUCUGGAGCAUAGCCAUGGUCGUUCUGUUGGAGGCUUACAUGAGACAUAUGUCGUUGAGGAAGAAGAGCAGCGAGAAGCUGGUGAGGAGGUUUCUUGCAUGGAUGAUUUGUCUCUGUCUUUAGAGCUGAGCUGAAUGUAGAUGCUUGGAAGCAGAAGCGUGGCCAUGCAAAGCUUCAGUUGGCGAAGGCAUCUGACACAUGCUGCCCUGGUCUAUUGUAGUAUCAGCCCGCUUCAUCGAGAUAUGGAUGCUUUUCUUUGGUGAAAAAGGGACGUUCUGGAGGAUGGUGAGGACGGCGAGAAAGAAGUUAUAUUUGCUGGAGAUGAUGCACUCACAACCAUUGGGUGAUUCUCCCGGAGGGCGAAGCGGGGCGAGAAGACGGGCCAAUGGAGCUCGGAGCUCUAUGGGGAAGUCUGGUGGUUUGCUUUAUACUUUGAUUUUCACAUGUGAAUGGGACACGCUGUUCCGGUGUUUUGCGGUGUGCUCAUGUUGUAUCCAACAGAUAUCAAAACAAGGUGAUGUUUGUUUUUUGACUCGGAACCAGAAUAUCCAAUGUAUGAUGAACUGAUGGAUCAUCAUCUUCCAACCAUCCUGGUGUUUGGUAAAUAAAAUUUGAUCUUGCUCCAGUUGCCCCUGUAGUAAUAGGGAUGUCGUGGUAAUUUCCAGAGCCACAAAUGUACUGGUAGCAGCAUUGUUGUAAACUUUGUGAAUCCUGGUGUUGGUCGAUGUCAAGCUAGAGAAGUAUUUCUGGUAUAGCAAAUAGAUUGGCUGGCUGUUAGUUGAA